AUACAAUCAUUGUGUAAAAGAAGAAACAACAAAAUCAUUUUUUUCUUAAAAAAAAUCCUUUAUCAGCACAAAGCUUCCAUCUAAUUAAUUAAUGGCUAAAGAACGGUCGAUAGAGGCAACCCCCAUGCGGGCAGUUGCUGUGGUUUGCUUCAUCUUGCUGGCUAUUUUUAUUUUUAUUAAACAAAUUAUUCAUCACCUUGAAGAGUGGUUGUUGAAAAAGCACAAAAAGCCUCGAUAUAAAGCACUUGAAAAGAUCAAAGCAGGUAAGAAAAUGGAGGGCCUGGGAGGAUGAAACAAGAAUAAUUAAGUACCAAUUCUACAACGGUUGGUAUACAAGAAUUAGAAUAAAACUCAAUACUUCACCCCACCUCAUCAUACCAUUGUGUAUACUCUUUUAUUUCUCUAGUGUCUUUUAUAUAAAUUAAAAGGGAGACUAUUUUUUUUAUACAUUUAUAGAUAUUGUAAAUAUUAUAUACUA